rnacentral:sRNA from 1 species
ACCGGGUGCGGUGGCGUCCGCCUGUAAUCCCAGUGGCUAGGAGGCUGAGGCAGGAGGAUCUCGAGUUUAAAGCCAGCCUCAGCAAAAGCCAGGCACUAAGCAACUCAGUGAGACCCUGUCUCUA